GAUAACCAUAGAUAACCAGAGGGUUAAGAGUUGGAUUCGUGACGGUGCGGACAGUCUCAGAUGCAGCAUCAUAGAGUCCGCCAAAGAACAUUGCUUGAGCAGCUAACAACAAUGCUCCGACUCCUAAAAACAAUAGAUGAUGUCCCAAAAUAAUCCCUAAUUGCUUGGCAUCAUCCCA
rnacentral:antisense_RNA from 1 species